UACGGGGGGUGGCCCUCCAACCCAAGACUUCACCACAGCAGAGGAGCUGGCCCUGGACUUAAAUAAAGGGAAGCCAGUGAUUGAAGGGAUCCAGGGAGGGACAGCCACUGACUCUGGCCCAGCAAGGGAUACUGGCCUCUUCAUACAAGUGGCUGGCAACACCCUUACACUUUUGGAGCCACCAGACUAUGAUUCGCCGAGGGAAGCCACAUCUACAGCAGUGGAG